rnacentral:rRNA from 1 species
GUCCACGCCGUAAACGAUGGAUACUAGCUGUUGGGCGCAAGUUCAGUGGCUAAGCGAAAGUGAUAAGUAUCCCACCUGGGGAGUACGUUCGCAAGAAUGAAACUCAAAGGAAUUGACGGGGCCCGCACAAGCGGUGGAGCAUGUGGUUUAAUUCGAUGAUACGCGAGGAACCUUACCAAGGCUUAAAUGUAGAUUGACCGGUUUGGAAACAGACUUUUCGCAAGACAAUUUACAAGGUGCUGCAUGGUUGUCGU